rnacentral:rRNA from 1 species
AGUGAACGCUGGCGGUAGGCCUAACACAUGCAAGUCGAACGGCAGCACAGUAAGAUCUUGCUCUUACGGGUGGCGAGUGGCGGACGGGUGAGGAAUACAUCGGAAUCUACUUUUUCGUGGGGGAUAACGUAGGGAAACUUACGCUAAUACCGCAUACGACCUACGGGUGAAAGCAGGGGAUCUUCGGACCUUGCGCGAUUGAAUGAGCCGAUGUCGGAUUAGCUAGUUGGCGGGGUAAAGGCCCACCAAGGCGACGAUCCGUAGCUGGUCUGAGAGGAUGAUCAGCCACACUGGAACUGAGACACGGUCCAGACUCCUACGGGAGGCAGCAGUGGGGAAUAUUGGACAAUGGGCGCAAGCCUGAUCCAGCCAUACCGCGUGAGUGAAGAAGGCCUUCGGGUUGUAAAGCCCUUUUGUUGGGAAAGAAAAGCAGCAGGUGAAUACCCCGCUGUUCUGACGGUACCCAAAGAAUAAGCACCGGCUAACUUCGUG